AGUCUCGUCUUCGACGGGACACUCUGUGUCGUUUGCCGAGAGAUGGCAACGAAGCACCACCACUGUUCGACCUUUACGAAUCGCCUGGAGGAAUCCGUCGUUCCUCCUCUUCGCAAUAGCACCAACCACAACACACGCGUUUUCUUCGUCCCCACACGGAAACACUGUCAGCCGGUCCGCGGUUACGCAACGCGACCGAUCAACGUCCACGUCGAAACAUCCUCGGGCGAAGAGCGGCUUCGGCAAGCAACGGAACCGGAGAUCCCUCGGGCCGUGUCGACGGAUGUUGACGUUCCGCCGCGAAGAUCCACCGCGAAGAUCCCAGUCACGUGGUCGCCGGUGUCACGUGGGUGCCGAUGGUGAAGGUGUCAGGGGAGGUUGCCGUAGAUCGCGAGAUCGAUGCAGGGGAGGAUCGGUGCGGAUCGGUAUGUCUCGUGGGUUUUGGAAAAUAGUUAACCGGGAAAAUGGUGAUCGAUACACGCGUAUUGGCCGAAGGUCGACGAAGACCGAUCGUAUGCGACACCGCGUUGUCGCGCGCGCGCGCCUCUCGAGAAUGGCCUAGAGGCGAAAAGAGGAAAGGAUCUCCACGAGUGGCGCCGCCCGCGGCAGGAGGGGGAAAAUCUCUCCUGCGUGGAGAGCAAGUGUUGGGCCCGCACGAUAUGCCCCGCUGGACCACCACCACUACUGCCAUCCUCUCGACCACCACCACCACGGGUAUCUUUGCCCACCACCACCGGCGCUACCACGGACCAUGCCAUCGGUAUCACCAUCACCCGUAGCUUCGUCCACCUUCACGGAACACCGUCGCCCGAUACCAGCUGUCCUCUCGGCCGUCCCUUUCUCUUCUACACGGCUUUCCUCUCACGGCUCCUUUUCCUCUCCGCGCUGUCCACUCUUGGCUGAUUCCCCUUCUCAGGUACCCGCAACUACGUCGUUCCUCUCUUCGUUCGACCAUAGCUCAGACUGGACCGCUUGCCGCCUCUUUGUCUCGUCGUUGUCUCCUGUUCGAGACGCAUCGAUGAUACCUGACCAGGAGGAACUACGAUUUACCGCUCUCCUCUCGCCGCAUGCACGCCUAUCUUGAUCCUCUUUUUCUUUUCUUUCAACCCUGCACCCUUCCGUUCUUCUCGCAGCUACCAUCAUUCGUAACAGCGGUCCGGUCGAUCAGCCUGCUGUUCGAGUAAAGACACGUCGCGUCUGACUUUCGUGAUCGGUGCUCGGAGGAAUUUCUGAUGGAUCGGUGUAAGUACUAACCCUUUAGGUACAAUCGUAUUUGCUGGAAAUUGUACUCGUAUAUCCGAAUGCAAAUAAUUCUUCUUUAUGACAAAAAUUCUUCUUCUUUCUUGGUAUUUUGAAAUAUAAAUACUUUCUGUUAAAUGACCAUGGUUGCCCAUAGUAGCGAAAGGGUUAAAGAAACGUAGCACGCCGGCUACUUGAUUCUUACACAUGAUUAAUACAAUCAUUGCUUAUAGAUCAUCUAGGUUUCUGAGAGUUUCCAUGUCUUUCUAGAAUCUUAGCUCCAUUAGAUUACUAAUUUAGCAAUUUCAUCGUUUGAUAUAAUCACACAUGCUCCAUCUCGUAUUGCCUAUCGAUGGUUUAUACGAGUGCAUAGAUACAAAGAGAGACGUCAAUACCUUGAUCAUCUUUCUUAAAUCUUCAAAUCAAUCAUCUUCAUAUUCUCCGAGAAUCCUCUUGAUCGGUGAGUUAAAUUGAUCACCCCAUUCUCUUUUUUAAACUACUUUUAUGAAUAACACGCUCACACCGAGGGAAAAAAUGUCGGCAUCCUGUGACAGGAUCGCGUAUGCCUGCUCAGAACAUUCCUCCAUACGUUAACCCAAAUAUGAGCAACGGCGAACGCGAAAUAAGUCGCUCAUUAAGAAAGAAUGCUUUGCUCGCAAUGGUUGCCACCGCUAUAUAAUUUAAACUGCAAUAAACUCGCUUAGAACAUACGCUGUUGUGUUGCUACGUGUUCGCUAUUGCCGCGAUUUAAUAUUCGUGCAAAAACCAACAAACCAGACGGCAGUAAUCGCCUCGACCGCGGAUUUACGGCGGAAUAAUUGAACCAUAAUCGCUGGUGAAUUACGCGUCCAUUCAAAGAUGGUUACAUCAUUGUUAUUAUCCUAUCGAUUUUCUGGAAAUGUCUUCUCGCAAAACUUUCGUCGUUCGUAAAUCUUACAGCUGGUUUAGUUGAUAGGCUAUCCUUAGUGAAAAUUAAAAUUAAAAUUAUGGCUCUCUUCCUGGUCCGCCAUCCGAGGUUAAACAUAGUCUCAUUACUUUUGUAUCAGACUCUACAAUACUUCAAUCAUUACAAUUUCAACAUCUUCCUAAGAAUCUCCCAUAUUUUUAAAUCACCCCUUAUCUUAAUUCAUCCACUUCGUAUCGCUCCAUUCGCGUCACAGCUGAAAACAAUUGACGUUUCGCGUGGUACAUCGUCUUUUGUUAUCACACCGAUCAAUAUCAGACUCGAACGAGUAAAAAUAUUCAGGUCAGAUGGAUAGCAACUGGCAACAACGGACCUUGGAUCCGAAGCUUCCAGAGGAGGCUGCUCCCUCCGGCAUACCAAGACAGAUCACCUCCUUUUUCCCCUUCCUACACUUUACGCGCACCUGUCCAACCUGGACGGAUCGUAUUCUGAUCCUGCUUCCUACAAAGCGACCAGUCUGCUCCUUUUUCUUAAAUCGAACAUUUCCAGUGAUUCCUUUGGCUACGAAACUCUGCCCGUUAAACGGUCACCCUAUAAAUUUCCUCCACUCCCGACGUCAACCAUAGUAUCGACGAUUUUAUAGGGUGGUGCGAUAGAAUCUUCUACACCCUCGCUGUAAUGACUCGCAGCAGUGGGUGUUAAUCCUAAUUUGGCAGUAUUAAUUUCAAUUUUCUUUUUAUUUAAAAGUACUGAAAUUUAAAACAAAAAUAUUUCAAUGAUUAUUACAAGUGGUUUCGACCUUUGAUUCGAUGACGAAGAUUUCGAAAAGAGAAGCGACGAUGGAAGAUGUUCGACGCGAGGUGCCACCCACGUGUGUAAUUAUGAGAUCACUGCCGAAAACAGCGAGGAACCGUGUCCAAUAAGAGAGAAGGAGCAACGGAAUGGCCAAAAAAGAAAAAUGAUUAACGAACUCGUUCAACGCAUUCCCGUGUCAGGAUACAAGGGGAGAUACGUCGAGCGUGUUACAAGAAGGUUGCUCGAUAUAUCGUGACGUAAGCGACGGAAUUUCGAGGAGAAUGAACGACGCGGUUCGAGCUUCUAUAAAAGUGGAACACACCGCGUUUCUCGUGAUUUACAAUGUGUUACUGGAAUAAAAAUAGACGUAGAAUCAGUAGGGUCUAUAAACAAGAUAUACGAGCAGGUAAAAUUCACUGUGAUGCUUGGAAAUUGCAGUUAUUGGAAACUACCCCGGGGGAAAACUUUGAAAUUUAAAGGUUGCAAUGCCUUUCCCUGUUUCACUUAACAAUUUUUAUAUUCUUUUUGACGCAUAAAUUUUUGUGAUAAAAUAAAAAUAUUACUCGAUAAAACUUUCAACAAUUCACAUCAAAUUCUUUUCUUAUUUUAACCCUGUAUAAGUUGCUGUAUAUUUACCCUUUGAGGGUUGAAUUAGAAAACAUUGCAAUAUAUUAUCGCAUACUAAUUUAGCUGAUAAGUAUGAUAGAUAUUAAAACUUAA